CAGAACAUAACUCACAAAAACCAAACCAAAGUCCACAAUUCUCAAACAAAGUGAGCAGCAGUAAGUUGGUGUAAAGACCUGAAGACAGGAUGGAUGUGGUUCUACUUCCUGGUUUCACUCAGGACCCAAACAGCAGCAGAUUCCAGGAUGAUGAUGAUGCCGGGAUCAUCGCUGACAUCCUCGUCCUGGAUGCAUCCCAGUCAGAAGGUGAUUGGUUUUGUGGUUCUGGUCCCACCUGCAGCACAAACCGUCAUUCCUCUUUCCUCCAGCCUCAUCAUGACAUACGACGCCACGGCAACACGGCUGAACCAGAGGUGGGCCAUCAGCACCUGACAGCCGGCCUCUCCGUGGAGUUGGUUUGGGGAGCUGUAUAUUCCAAUUACCGGCCGGAUCCCCGAGCUAUGGAGAGUGUACAGAGGGAGUCACAUUCAAUUACAGUCUGCGUCCGCUGUGGAUUCCUGUGUUUUUUACCUGUCCUCAUGCAUAAAGCAGACACAGCAGUUCCCAUGUGCGCCGGUGUCAGCGCGUGUGAACGGGGGGGGCUCAGCUGCUUAUGCGGAUGCAUUUAGCGCCGCUUCCUUCUUUACAUUCCCGGCGCUGGCGUGAGAUCCUGAAGCAGCCUGGAACCGCCGGUCAGCAGUCUGCCCCACAUAACGGCGUCUUAAGGCAGACAAACAGUCAACAUAUGCUAAUGUAUUCAAGAGGAGUGAAAACAGAAAUGCAUUAGGCUCCACAUUUGGACCCGCGCAUCAUUAUCGGACUUUUGAUUUCCUCAUUUUCUGACUUGUUGUGAAAAUAUCAAGGACUUUCUAUUAA